rnacentral:rRNA from 1 species
AGUGAACGCUGGCGGUAGGCCUAACACAUGCAAGUCGAACGGCAGCACAGUAAGAGCUUGCUCUUACGGGUGGCGAGUGGCGGACGGGUGAGGAAUACAUCGGAAUCUACUUUUUCGUGGGGGAUAACGUAGGGAAACUUACGCUAAUACCGCAUACGACCUACGGGUGAAAGCAGGGGAUCUUCGGACCUUGCGCGAUUGAAUGAGCCGAUGUCGGAUUAGCAAGUUGGCGGGGUAAAGGCCCACCAAGGCGACGAUCCGUAGCUGGUCUGAGAGGAUGAUCAGCCACACUGGAACUGAGACACGGUCCAGACUCCUACGGGAGGCAGCAGUGGGGAAUAUUGGACAAUGGGCGCAAGCCUGAUCCAGCCAUACCGCGUGGGUGAAGAAGGCCUUCGGGUUGUAAAGCCCUUUUGUUGGGAAAGAAAAGCAGCAGGUUAAUACCCCGCUGUUCUGACGGUACCCAAAGAAUAAGCACCGGCUAACUUCGU